UACGGAGGGGGCAAGCGUUGUUCGGAAUUACUGGGCGUAAAGGGCGUGUAGGCGGCCAACUAAGUCCGACGUGAAAUCCCCAGGCUUAACCUGGGAACUGCGUCGGAUACUGGAUGGCUUGAAUCCGGGAGAGGGAUGCGGAAUUCCAGGUGUAGCGGUGAAAUGCGUAGAUAUCUGGAGGAACACCGGUGGCGAAGGCGGCAUCCUGGACCGGCAUUGACGCUAAAGCGCGAAAGCCAGGGGAGCAAACGGG
rnacentral:rRNA from 1 species